CAGAAAGUAGUUUAUUUGAAAAUGUUAGUUUUGGGGACUAAGGAUAGGAUUAAUUUCUUCUUUCUGA
rnacentral:tRNA from 1 species